rnacentral:lncRNA from 1 species
UGAAAACAAGACCCGUUGUCUACAAGUGUCCUGGAGAUGAGUCUGAGGCUUAUAAAAGAUUGUGAGCUUUUACAUUCGAGUCAUAACAUUGAGAACAGUCUACAAGCAAGAUAUCUGGAACUCGCUUCACUUAGAGAAUACAAUUGAUUCAGACCUAUAUACACAAAAUGAAACCGAGUGUGUUGGUAGCUUGGGCACUAGUCUUGGCUGUCCUUUUAUUGCUGUGUGGAAAGUCGGUGGAUUGUAAGAGGGAACAUAGAAUUUUGAAACGUAGCACAGCAGGCAAUACGAGUUCUAAAAACAACGCUGGUACUAGAUGCACACUCAGAUUUAGAUGCCCACCCAAGGUAAGAGCUAUGAGUUUUGUAUUCAUAAAAUCGUUUGGUAGGUUUACUAUUUCAACUGUUUUACGCUUAAUGACUCGUGUCAGAAUUUUUUAAUAUUUCCUAAGCAGCUGCCGUUGUGUUCAUGCUGUUGUGCAACUUCGCUUAUAUUAUGUGAAGCAAUGAUGUUGUGCUCAGCAUAUGCAUUGUCGAAAGCUAGUGUAUGAGCUGACCAAUAACACUGAGUGAACUGAAAGAGAUCUUGUAUACAUGAGUUGUAUACGUAAGUUCUCAAACAUUAAGGUCCACUUUAGACAGUAUAUUAAUUAUUAUACAUUGUGCGGCGAUCUAGCUAGUGAAAAACGUAAUUGAAAAUCUUCGCAGUUUCAACCAAAGCAAAGGCCCUUUGCAAGACUUCCAGCGAAGGGUAAACAUUUUUUCAGGUAGUUCAUACACAAGCCACGGCAACUUAUUUUUGUAAUCUUUAAAGUCUGACCUUUUUACCCCCCAUAGCAAUUAAACUAAUCUGUGUGAUGAAACAUGGUCGUUUUGUCAUCUGUAUUGUGAAAUACGUGCAUAGUGCAGUUGUAAUUCUCUACCGGCUGAUAGUUUCAGCAAAUAUCAAACUAAUGUUAUUCCGAAAACAAGUUUGCAUUUUAACAGCAGUUUUUAAAAUAGAUGUGUUAAAAUGCAUAGUUUUUUUCGGAUUAGUUUCGUAAUUGUAAUUGAUAUGCUAAAUAAGCUUUUCUUUUUUAGCAGAAAAAGGCACCAGCAAGCCAAAGUCAUGACAGGAAGGACAGAAAAAUGCGCAAGCUGAGAAAAUUUAUAAAACGACUGAUACUUAACUUAUAAGAAGCUUAUAUGAACGAGUUUUUAUAACCACAUGAAGGAACGAGCUAUGUCCACAGAAUGGAGUGUUAUGUCCACAGAACAGACCGCGGAUAAUGCGUGCACAGAUCGGAAUGUUUUGCGCAAACCGUGAACUGAACCCUGAGACGAAGCAUCGCACGAGGCAACGCCUUAUUCGAAAAUGCGCCAUUUGAAAUGCGCAAACUUUCGUUUCGACCCAUAAGAAUUCAUCACGACAGAAAGAGACUAUAGUAAGAAAUCUAGAACGCAUCGAACUAGCGCAGGAACGCAAAAAUGCACCGAAGAAAUAAACUUAUUUAACCGAUGAACUUAUGGAACAGACCCUAUAUUUUUAUUUGUAUAUAGAUAUAGUUUAAAUUGUGAUUAUUAGGAUUGCAUACUGUAAUUAUUUGAAACACAAGUGGACAUCUGAAAAUACGCAUUCGCAAGAAGAUCAAUAAAUUAUAAUUUGAAAAUUA